rnacentral:rRNA from 1 species
UACGUAGGGUGCGAGCGUUGUCCGGAAUUAUUGGGCGUAAAGAGCUUGUAGGCGGUUUGUCGCGUCUGCUGUGAAAUUUCGGGGCUCAACCCCGAACUUGCAGUGGGUACGGGCAGACUAGAGUGUGGUAGGGGAGACUGGAAUUCCUGGUGUAGCGGUGAAAUGCGCAGGAUAUCAGGAGGAACACCGAUGGCGAAGGCAGGUCUCUGGGCCACUACUGACGCUGAGAAGCGAAAGCAUGGGGGAGCGAACAGG